rnacentral:ncRNA from 1 species
GAUGGUUUCGCCAAGCAAGAGCGCGGCGGAUUAAAUGGGAACAUGGUGAGGACUACCCAUCAGGGACCGAGACCAUGGCUGCCCCCGCAACUGUAAGCGGAAAGCGACACCCGAUACGCCACUGGCCCCGCUGGCUGGGAAGGUGGGUGAAGCGUGGACCCGCGAGCCAGGAGACCUGCCAUCAC